rnacentral:rRNA from 1 species
UACGUAGGGUGCGAGCGUUAAUCGGAAUUACUGGGCGUAAAGUGUGCGCAGGUGGCCGCGCAAGUCGAGUGUGAAAUCCCCGAGCUUAACCUGGGAACUGCAUUCGAGACUGCAUUGCUAGAGUAUGGGAGAGGGAAGUGGAAUUUCCGGUGUAGCGGUGAAAUGCGUAGAUAUCGGAAGGAACAUCAGUGGCGAAAGCGACUUCCUGGACCAAUACUGACGCUCAUGUGCGAAAGCGUGGGGAGCAAACAGG